ACAGUAGCUUAUAUUGAAACAUCACUUCUCAUUUGCUGUUUGGACAAUGGUGAUGGAACUGCUGCUUUAUUGCCCACGGAGAAGCGAAGUGAAGAGUCUAAAGUGGGUCUUGCAGUUACACUGGACAAAAGAAGUUUGAAACUGAGGCUUGGUCCUGAAGAAAACAUAGAGAAGCCUGACAGAUUAUAUAUAUUCACAGCUUUGACUUAA
rnacentral:lncRNA from 1 species